rnacentral:lncRNA from 1 species
CCCCUUAUAUUCCAUGUGCAGAAUAUCAUUUAAAGGUGAAGCUGGAUGGGCCAGCGUCCCCUGGAUCUUCACCUAGUUGCAGUAGAGAGAAUCUGUUAGUCGUGUUCACCAAAGCUUCUGCACUUUAUUGUACACUUUUUCCUUUUGUUUUCCCCUUAUCCACAACCCUGCCUUCUGCAUUCUCAGUUGUUUGUUUAUUGUCCCCAGCUUGCCUACCUUGUUGGUCUACCUCAUCUUCCUUCUUAUCUUUUGGAACCCAUUUCAAAGUCCCUCUCUGUAGUAGUUUCUUUUCCCCUAAUUCCUUUGGUUGAGGCUUUGCUAUCUCUUCUUUUUCCUGCAGCUCC